UACGUAGGGGGCAAGCGUUGUCCGGAAUCAUUGGGCGUAAAGCGCGCGUAGGCGGCCCGAUAAGUCCGCUGUGAAAGUCAAAGGCUCAACCUUUGAAAGCCGGUGGAUACUGUCGGGCUAGAGUCCGGAAGAGGCGAGUGGAAUUCCUGGUGUAGCGGUGGAAUGCGCAGAUAUCAGGAGGAACACCGAUGGCGAAGGCAGCUCGCUGGGACGGUACUGACGCUGAGGCGCAAAAGCGUGGGGAGCGAACAGG
rnacentral:rRNA from 1 species